CGAGCUGCCGCUGAGAUGAGCGCAGUGUCGGAGCCCCGGGCUGCCCACGGUGCCCCGGAGAAGCCGGCCAGCACGGCGAUCCUGUGUAACACCUGCGGGAACGUGUGCAGGGGCGAGGUGCUGCGGGUGCAGAGCAAGUACUUCCACAUCCAGUGCUUCGUCUGCAAAGAAUGUGGCUGUGACCUGGCCGAGGGCGGCUUCUUCGUGCGGCAGGGCGAGUACAUCUGCAUCCAGGACUACCAGAGACUGUACGGGACCCGCUGCUUCAGCUGCGACCAGUUCAUCGAGGGCGAGGUGGUGUCGGCGCUGGGCAAGACCUACCAUCCCGGCUGCUUCGUGUGUGCCGUCUGCCGGUUGCCCUUCCCGCCCGGGGACCGAGUGACCUUCAACGGCAAGGAAUGCAUGUGCCAGAAGUGCUCCCUGCCCACGUCAGCGGGCGGCAGCGUGCCCGUGCCCCAGGGCCUCUGGAGUUGCAAGGGCUGCGGGGUGGAGAUCAAAAACGGCCAGUCCCUGGUGGCCCUGGACAAACACUGGCAUCUGGGCUGCUUCAAGUGCAAGACUUGCGGGAAACAACUGAACGCAGAGUAUAUCAGCAAGGACGGGCUGCCCUACUGUGAGGCCGACUAUCACACCAAGUUCGGGAUCCGCUGCGACGGCUGUGAGAAGUACAUCACGGGGCACGUGCUGGAGGCGGGGAAUAAGCACUAUCACCCUCUGUGUGCGCUAUGUGUCGGCUGCGGCCGGAUGUUCGCGGAAGGCGAGGAGAUGUAUCUGCAAGGCUCCUCCAUCUGGCACCCGGCGUGUCGACAGGCGGCCAGAACUGAAGACAAAAGCAAGGAAAGCAGAACGUCUUCAGAGAGCGUCGUUUCCCUCCCGGCUUCCAGCACCUCGGGGUCUCCGAGCCGCGUGAUUUAUGCCAAGCUGGGUGAUGAGAUCCUUGACUACAGAGACCUGGCUGCUCUCCCUAAGAACAAGGCCAUCUACAACAUUGACCGCCCCGACAUGAUCUCCUACUCACCCUUCAUCAGCCACUCCGUGGGGGACAGGCAGAGCUGCAGCGAGGAGGAUCAGGAUGACCGCUCCUACAAGCAGUGCCGGACCUCCAGCCCGAGCUCCACCGGGUCGGUCAGCCUCGGCCGUUACACCCCGACCUCGCGGUCGCCCCAGCACUACAGCCGUCCAGCUGGUACUGUGAGUGUUGGUACCAGUAGCUGCCUGUCCCUGUCCCAACACCCAAGCCCUACAUCCGUGUUCAGACAUCAUUACAUCCCCUACUUCCGAGGCAGUGAAAGUGGCCGGAGCACCUCCAGCCUCUCCGUGCUCUCAGACAGCAAGCCUCCCCCCUCCACCUACCAGCAGGCUCCUCGCCACUUCCACGUCCCAGACACUGGCGUCAAAGAUAACAUCUAUAGGAAACCCCCCAUCUACAAGCAGCAUGGUCCUGUAGCCCAAGCCCCAGUUUCCAAGCUCUCGGGCCUGAUGUCUGUCUUGUCCUUGGUGGUGCACAAGGCAGGGUGCUCCAAAAGGCUAGAAGGUCCGAGCCCUCCGCAGGCUGCAGCCGCGAGGCGAUCGGAUGGGGAGGACGGAGGUUUCGACCCGGAUAACAGGAAGCAGAAGACCGACUGGCUGAUGCUCAAGGGGGACGCAGACACGAGGACCAACUCUCCAGACCUAGACAGCCAGUCUUUGUCCCACAGUAGCGGGACCGAUAGAGACCCUCUCCAAACGAUGCCAGGGGACAGCACUUACUCACGGUUCCCCUAUUCCAGGUCUGACCCUGUCCCAGGACAUGGCAAGAAUGGCUUGGACCACCGGAAUGCCAAUCUGGCCCCUUGUGGAGCAGACCUGGAUGCCAGCUGGGGCACGCGAGAAUACAAGGUAAGAGGGGCCGCCCGCUCCCGCGCUGACCUCCAGCUGCCGAGCUGCACCUGCCCAGAUCUACCCUUAUGACGCCCUCAUCGUCACAAACCGACUCCGCGUGAAGCUGCCCAAAGACGUGGACCGGACGCGACUGGAGAGACACCUGUCGCCCGAGGAGUUCCAGGAAGUGUUUGGAAGGAGCAUAGAAGAGUUUGACCGCCUGGCCCUCUGGAAGAAGAAUGACCUCAAGAAGAAAGCCCUGCUGUUUUGACGCUGCCCGGGGCCCUGACCCCGGACGCGCCUGCGGGAACCACCAGACCCCUCCUCUUGCACUUGGCUUUGGCUUCUCUGUGUCCACGGUGGGCGGUGGAAGGGCCGGGCUGGGGCCUGGGGGCGGGAGGAGGUCCCAGAGCAGGUGCAGUGCCCCCGUUUCCGCCAGCACCGCCCCCUCCCGUAGUUUAGGGCCCAGACGCCUGGCUUUGCACUGCUCCUUCCCCGCUGUUGCUUGCCAUCUGGGAGAUGCUGCAAGGUCACUGCCCCGGAGGUGGGGGAACAGACAAGUGCAGCCCACCCCCCAGGCCUCCGGGCAGUGCCCACCCCACCCUGGGCCCUGGGGGCACAGAGGCGAUGGGACCGGAGAUUUGAGGAGGCCUGUCAGUGACAGGCGCUGACAGGGCCUUGGGUGGGUGGGGGCACGGCGUGGCCCCCCUCACCCGCUCAGCCUCAGGAGGCACGGCCUGGCACAUGGGCCCCCCACCCCCGAGGCAGGGCGAGUGCCACCCAGGGCUGCAAGAAGCAUGGGGGCUCGGUUUUUACGGCCUUUGCGAUGAAUCAGUGUUUAGGGAGGAACCUCGGUCUUAAAGAGGCACCUUCUGCCAGGGCCCUCCGUGCACUGCAUUUUUCUUCCAGAUCAUCCCUUAGAUGCCUAAAUGAUAUCUUUAAAGUAACACAGAAGUUUUUAUUUUAUUAAAAAGUAGAGCCUACUUAAAGACGACUUAUAUAAAGAGUUUAAUUCUAUGGUCCCGCUGAAGGGGCGCACACCUCCAGCCUGAUUCUCCACCGUUCGCAUCUGUGUGGUUUCGGGUUUGGGCUGUGUUCCCGAUACACAGGACUCCUUGUCUGUUUUCUUUGUGCUUUUUUGCUAUUUGACCUGUCACACAGGUACCCCGACAGGCAGACCCACUCCCCGCCCCCCCGUAAUGCUGUCUGUAAGUACGCGUAAAGUACAGCCACCACUGUUUGUCUCGCUGUCAUUUCCCAAGUCUUGGAGAGAAGACGGCCUCCCCUGACGGCCAGUGCCCCAGAAUGAAGGAUUUCCAUGCCCUCUUGGUGACAUGGCCAGGGGCGUCCCACCUUCCCCCCUUCUCCCCCAUAAAACACAGACACCCCCAGGGAGGGGCCCUGCUCUUGCCUGGUCCUGAGACCGACAGCCAGACCCUCGGGGAGACGGGAUGGGAGGUGCCGCCUACAUCCGCAAGGUCGGCAGGGCAUCCGCGGCAGGAGGCCGGCGGGUCCCCCGCUGGAAGGCGUCCUGCUUGUGAUUAGGUGGGGGCUAGAGCGUGGUGCCUGACGCGGAACGUGUGUCCAUGCGUUGAGAGGCCUGUGAGACACCGCAAAGGUGUCCCCAGAGUCUGUCCCCCUCCCCGUCCUUGUGAAGCUGCAUCUCGCUGUGUGUCCUGGAUGUUCCCGUCCGUGAGUCAACGUCGCUCAGCUUCCUUUUGUCCCCGUAACACGCCAGUCCCUCUGUGUACCCGGCUUCUCACCAGCCCGGCUUGGCCAGGGCGGGGAGUCCUCAGCGGACUCAGUGGAGGCU